GAUGAACGCUGGCGGCGUGCUUAACACAUGCAAGUCGAACGAUGAUCCGGUGCUUGCAUCGGGGAUUAGUGGCGAACGGGUGAGUAACACGUGAGUAACCUGCCCUUAAAUCUGGGAUAAGCCUGGGAAACUGGGUCUAAUACAGGAUAUGACUCCUCAUCGCCUGGUGGGGGGUGGAAAGCUUUUGUGUUUUUGGAUGGACUCGCGGCCUAUCAGCUUGUUGGUGAGGUAAUGGCUCACCAAGGCGACGACGGGUAGCCGGCCUGAGAGGGUGACCGGCCACACUGGGACUGAGACACGGCCCAGACUCCUACGGGAGGCAGCAGUGGGGAAUAUUGCACAAUGGGCGGAAGCCUGAUGCAGCGACGCCGCGUGAGGGAUGACGGCCUUCGGGUUGUAAACCUCUUUCAGUAGGGAUGAAGCGAAAGUGACGGUACCUGCAGAAGAAGCGCCGGCUAACUACGUGCCAGCAGCCGCAGUAAAAC
rnacentral:rRNA from 1 species